rnacentral:rRNA from 1 species
AAUCAACGCUGGCGGCGUGCCUCAGACAUGCAAGUCGAACGAUUAAAGCUCUCUUCGGAGAGUGUAUAGAGUGGCGCACGGGUGAGUAACACGUAAGUAAUCUACCUUUGAGUGGGGAAUAACAAUCGGAAACGAUUGCUAAUACCGCAUAAUGCAGCGGCAUCGCAAGAUGACAGUUGUUAAAGGAGCAAUCCGCUUAAAGAGGAGCUUGCGGCAGAUUAGCUAGUUGGUAAGGUAAUGGCUUACCAAGGCUACGAUCUGUAUCCGGUCUAAGAGGACGGUCGGACACACUGACACUGAAUAACGGGUCAGACUCCUACGGGAGGCAGCAGUCGGGAAUUUUGGGUCAAUGGGCGAAAGCCUGACCCAGCAACGCCGCGUGAAGGAUGAAGUAUUUCGGUAUGUAAACUUCGAAAGAAUAGGAAGAAUAAAUGACGGUACUAUUUAUAAGGU